rnacentral:rRNA from 1 species
CAGUCGCCGCGGUAAUACGUAGGGUGCGAGCGUUAAUCGGAAUUACUGGGCGUAAAGCGUGCGCAGGCGGUUGUGUAAGACAGGUGUGAAAUCCCCGGGCUUAACCUGGGAACUGCGCUUGUGACUGCACAGCUAGAGUAUGGCAGAGGGGGGUGGAAUUCCACGUGUAGCAGUGAAAUGCGUAGAGAUGUGGAGGAACACCGAUGGCGAAGGCAGCCCCCUGGGCCAAUACUGACGCUCAUGCACGAAAGCGUGGGGAGCAAACAGGAUUAGAUACCCCUGUAGUCCCUGUCUCUUAUAC